rnacentral:rRNA from 1 species
GUAAUAAUCCUGUAGUCGAAAAUGUUGUCUCUCUUGAGUGGAUCCUGAGUACGACGGAGCACGUGAAAUUCCGUCGGAAUCUGGGAGGACCAUCUCCUAAGGCUAAAUACUCUCUAGUGACCGAUAGUGAACCAGUACCGUGAGGGAAAGGUGAAAAGCACCCCGGAAGGGGAGUGAAAUAGAACCUGAAACCGUGUGCUUACAAGUAGUCAGAGCCCGUUAAUGGGUGAUGGCGUGCCUUUUGUAGAAUGAACCGGCGAGUUACGAUUUGAUGCAAGGUUAAGCAGUAAAUGUGGAGCCGUAGCGAAAGCGAGUCUGAAUAGGGCGUUUAGUAUUUGGUCGUAGACCCGAAACCAGGUGAUCUACCCUUGGUCAGGUUGAAGUUCAGGUAACACUGAAUGGAGGACCGAACCGACUUACGUUGAAAAGUGAGCGGAUGAACUGAGGGUAGCGGAGAAAUUCCAAUCGAACCUGGAGAUAGCUGGUUCUCUCCGAAAUAGCUUUAGGGCUAGCCUCAAGUGAUGAUUAUUGGAGGUAGAGCACUGUUUGGACGAGGGGCCCCUCUCGGGUUACCGAAUUCAGACAAACUCCGAAUGCCAAUUAAUUUAACUUGGGAGUCAGAACAUGGGUGAUAAGGUCCGUGUUCGAAAGGGAAACAGCCCAGACCACCAGCUAAGGUCCCAAAAUAUAUGUUAAGUGGAAAAGGAUGUGGCGUUGCCCAGACAACUAGGAUGUUGGCUUAGAAGCAGCCAUCAUUUAAAGAGUGCGUAAUAGCUCACUAGUCGAGUGACACUGCGCCGAAAAUGUACCG